AAAACACAUCACCUAUAAAAAUGAGUUGUGACAAAUGUAUGGGAUAGGCCGAGCAUUCGUUAAUUGAAUUCUACGCUUAGCCCACAAAAUGGCCCAAAGGUUAAAAAGGAACCACCCCGAUAUCAAGAGCAAAAAGCCCAACAAAAACAGCAUGUUCCAUUCAAAACCACAUUUAUUUUAAUGAAUUUUUUCAUCCUCCAAUUUAGAUCCACAAAAG
rnacentral:misc_RNA from 1 species